ensembl:lncRNA
AUGCCGUCCUCCGGCUGCUCCUCGCAGCCUCCGAAGCCGCGACGCUUCGACGUCAGCAGACGGACCAACGCCGUAGCGGGACCAAAGUCUCAUGGCCCGGCUUCACAGAGGGAGGACAAAAACAUGAACACAAUCAGCGCCCCCUCCCCACGCCGCGCUCCCAAAGGCCCCGCUGCUCCAAUCAGGACCAGGGCAGCAGUUCAGCCGCGAGCCCCAGUAAGCCAGACCAGAUUUGGCGCACAAAAACAGGCUACCGCCCCCUCCAAGGCGGCGAAGCCCAAACCCAAGAGCGCUCGCGCCUCGGCAGUGACCCAGAUUGCGCCCGCAGACCUGCCGCCGCCGCUUCCCUCCGUCCUCCCGCUCGAUCCCAACUGCAACGAGCCGAGCCUGCCGUGUUUGUGCUGCGACGGCCGCUCCCCGCAGGACAACAACAGCAUGUUCAACCACAACCACAACAACAACAACACCGUCUCGAUCCGACAGCAGCUGCAGCUCCCGCCCCCUCCGGCCCCGCUGCCCCAGAGGCCGGGUGUGAUAGGGAGCAAGGAGCAGCCUCAGCCCGUCUCACAAGGUCAGGCCCCAUCGGAGGCGUCUGUGCGCCCCGCUGCCAGUCUGGAGAACAAAGACAAGAGUGCAGAUGACUGUGCUGGUCUGGACAACAAGAAGACUGUAAAGGUAGAGGAGGACGAUGACGAGGAAGAGAGCAGUGGGGAUAUUGAUAUUGACUACGAUGACGACGAGGCUGAAAACGAUGACGACGACGACGACACUCUUGUGCCCUCCUGCUGUGACUGCCCCCCCUCUCUCCUGGAGUUCUCGCUCUCCUCGUCUUCCUCCUCCUCCUCCACUUCUAUCAGCUCCUGCUCUGAUCUGGAGUCCGACUGUGCAGAUCAAUCCUCGUCCCUCUGCUCCUCCCACGACCAAGAUAAUCUCUCUAUUGCACUGUCCCUCAAAGACCGCUCACUUCCGCAAGCCAGAGAGGGCCCGUUUCCAGCCCGCUCCCCCCCAUCCCCUCCCCGUAAUCCCUUCUCCUUAGUGUCACAGAUUCCACCUUGCUCCCCAGAUGAAGGCUACCCCUCUGCCCUGGAUUCCCCUUCACCAGACUAUCUAGGAGUCAAAGGGGAUUCAGAGGGCACCAAACUAGGCCUCCUUGACUUCUUAGAAUCAGUAGGGGAGUUCGGGAAAAUGGAGCGAUUCAGUCAGGUGAUCCAAGUGGCCCGCUGGGAUUUGGAGGGGGAACAACACUGGGAUGUUCUGAGGGAUCGACUGGAUCACCUGGACCGCCUGGAAAAAGUGAACAGGGAGGUUAAACUGGCCUACAUCGCAAGACUCCAUGAGAAGGGGUUUGACCUUGGAGAUCUGGAAGAGCAAGACCUCUCGGAUGUCAUGGAUGAAAUGGGAAACAUUGACAUUCCCUUGAAGCUGUAUAAAAGCCGCGGGGAGAUGCGAGACUCUCAAGAGUUUUCUGACGCUGGCGUUGACCUCACUGCUCCGUCAGACACCGAUGAGCCUCUUGUUCCAGAUUCUCUGACCCCGUCCCCUGUGGAGCCACCACCUCGUCCCCCAAAACCUCCAGCACGCCAUGCCAGUGUGACCUCUGACCUCCACACCUACAUCAACAUUAGCAGGGAGACCACCUCCAUGGCCGUGUCCACCUCCCCCACCUUAUCCACUUUCUCCCUGAACUCCUCCUCCCCCACAUUCACCACCUUCAGGUGUGAAAAAUCGCUACCUCCUUCUCCACCGUCGGUUCCUCCUCUCCCUGCCACUAAGCCUGUCCCGUACCUCACCCUCUAUACCACCUCUUCUCCACCUCCAGCUAAUCCCACCCCAACUCCUCCCAUCCCUCCCCCUCGGAAGCGACACCUUGCCAGGAAGGAGGCACAGCGUCUUGCUGCUCUUCAAGCUGAACAAGAAAAGACUCCCGUGUCCCUUCCACCUCCCACCACACGGCCACCCCCUCUUCCUCCUCCACCUGUUAUCUCAAUCUCAUCCUCAUCGCCCCCUGCCAUACCUCCUCCCCCUAUUCUACCUCCUCCCCCCUCCUUCCACGCCCUGGAUGUGGAGAUUAGGAAACUACUGAUGCUUGCAGGACUGACCCAAGCUGAGCUCCUCAAACUCAGCCCAGAGCUUGGAGUGUGUGUUGAAGGGUUGGAGGAUGAGGGAGAUGAAAACAAUUUUAUCCUGUCUAGAUCUGGGGACUCACAUGAGUUCAGACUAAAAGGCAAGGAGGAAGUGAUGGAAAGUGAGAUCCAUUUCAUGAGACGAGAUGGGUGGAGCAGCGGAGACAAACUGGAUGGAGAUCAACGAGUCAAUGUGGGCGAUGAAGGCCAAAGAAAGGAGAGUAAGGACACACAAAGAACCACCUCAUUCACAGAGAUGGCAAGGAGGAGAAAGAGGGUGGGGUCAGACCACUACUACAGCACCAGUCUCAGCAAUACACAGGAAACUAAAGCUAAGAAUGUGAGCUUUGAGACUUUCCAUUAUCCUGCCGAGUUACCACAUUCCCCUCCACCUCCGCCGCCUCCUCGCCCCUUACCUCCAGUUCCACCAUCUUUACCACCCGCCAAAGUCAGCACCCUGCCGGCCAACUCUGCCCAACCUGAGCGAUUUGACUGGCUUAUAGCGUUCACCCCCGACGCUGAUGCCCCACCACAGCCUCUGCCCCUGGCCAUGAGGAAGUCCUACAUGGAAACCCAAAGGAAGCUCAAUACGUCCGGGCCAUCUCCAGGGUCAGCGCCAAAGGUCACGACCUUCAAAGAGCUGCGCUUCCGCAAUAAAAACACCUCGCCUCCAACAAGGGUGAUCACAGAGCCAGAUCCCGACCCCACGGUCAUCACCCCAGACCCAGAUAUACUGUACAACUUGAAGUGGAGGCGAGAGAAGGCGGGCACGGACGGAAGCCAGUGGGAGUACACCUCUCAGGCUCAGGCCUUGUUAAUGCAGCCGCCACCGGCCCUCACCUCAAUGGCUGCUCUGAAGGAAAUGCUCCAGAGAGCACAGGAGGAGGGUGGACGUCCAGAGCUGUGCCCAUCACAAAAGAUGGGCUGCUCAGUUAGUGACAGCAGCCUGUGGACCAUGGGCAGAGAGUGGGAGGACGAAGAAGCUAAGAGGGAGGAAAGGGAAAGGAAAACAAAUGAAGACAGAGAGGAGACGAAGGUGGAGGUGAGAGGACGAGCUGACGGAGAAAGGACUUUUGAAUCGAGAAUUACGGGUGAGUAUGAAUUCUCCAUGACAGCGGCGGUGAAAUAA